ensembl:lncRNA
GAUUAAUAAUCACCUUUCUAUUGCAGUACAUCAUAGCUUUCUUUUGUUGUCUUUGUACAUUAUAAUAUGUACAGUUCUCAAUUUUUCAUCAGCAACUAACAUAAAUUCUUCCUACCUGAUGUCAAAGAAAUUCAGUUGCUGUGUGAGCUGGAGAAGGUGGAAAAACUUCCUGUUAGCUCACAAGAGAGACAGAUGAGUCAUUAGGGCACAAGCUGUUCUGUCUUUUAGGACAUAAUUCUCUUAUCAAUUCAUUACACAUUGUUCAUACAAAACAAACAGUGUCCCCAGAAUAAGUCUUAUUUUAUGUUAAAGCUCUUCGCGCAGAUGGUGUUUGACAGGCUAUCUGACGAGACAGCCAUACUAAUGGGAUGCCAGCUCUGGAAUUCCUGUUGCUUGGGAAAGAGAACUCUGUAACAAUCAGAGUUCGAUGUUGCUCCGGGCGUUCUCUUUGUAGAUGAUAAAUGCUACUACACAACUGUUUGCCCCAUGCGGAGAUGCACAGCUGUGCUACACCAGAAAAGCAGCAUAUUUCUACAGUGCUAUUUCAGUAGAUUGUGCUGCACACUUUCGCAACUUCCAUGUCAAACCAGCAGAGGGUACUCUUAAGCUUCCAAGAAGAUGUUAAAUUGCUUCAUGAGGCCAAAACGUCAAACUGGGUACCGAGGGAAGGGGACAGAAAUGUCCCCUCUUUAAUGACAAUAUAUGAGCCUGAUCACAGAGACUGUUGGAGGAUCCGACAGACCAUUAAGCUGAUUGGCAGUCUCACUAAUCCUGAUGUUAGAACACUUGAAGGUCUUCAUCUCGCCUUAACAGCAUUCCUUCAUCCCAGCAGCAUCACAGAAAUGUCUGAGGAAAGGCACUGGAACAAGAUAAAUAUCUGGUGAUAAAUUUUAAGAUACUCUACCAGUCAGCCAGAGGCAUCUAGAGGUGGAGAAACAAAGCACUGAUGAGUCCAUGAAUUUCCCGGAAUCACCCAGGAAAUGUUUGUGCUUCUGUUGAUCUGUGUCUCUUGACAGGAUGAAUGCUUGUUGGAGUGUUUUCAGCCUGGCCAGCUCCUGUAUAGGUGUGUCAGGACACCUGAGGACAUAGAGAGUGGGCAGUCACCACAAGGAGCUGCUGUCCUUGUCUGGCCCAGCAGGGCUCACCUGCCAGCACACAACAUGAGGGAGAUAUCUUUCAGGUCUAUGCAAGGCUAGAGACAAAGACUGAAGCCUGACAAAAUCAAGAGAGAGCGAGCAGAUGAGUACAUCAACAGAAGAUGCUUUAAGAGGGUCAUGACACAUGCCUUUUUUUCAUAGAAUUGUAGAACCACUAGGGUUGGAAAAAACUUCUAAAACCAUCAGGUUCCACCAACAGCCCAUCACCACCAUGCCCACGGUACCACGUCCCUAAGUGCCACAUCUACUCUGUUCUUGAACACUGCCAGGGUCGGUGAUGCCACCGCUUCCCUGGGCAGCCUGUUCCUAGGCCUUCUCCCAUUUUAAGCCAAAUUUCUGUUCCCACGAUGUUGAACAGUUACCAUAUUUCCUUUCUCUGAGGAGUUUUUAAAUACACUAUACCACAAAAGUGAUUAAAAGAGGCCUGUGCCUUUUGCGCUUAAGGAAAAUCCUUCUGGAUGCUGGGGAUUUAAAUGCCAAGAACAGACUUGAACAUGUCAUGUCCUAUGGGUGUCCCAGUUGAAUACCAGCUUUUAGCUUAACCAAACCCACAAUCAUCUUUAUAUUCCUCUCUCCUUUAUUUUUUUUGGAGCUGAAAGUAAUAAUUUAACACAAUCUGUGGCCAGAUAAGCUACAGCCAUAGGAUGCCACGCAGCACCAGUGUGAAGAGAACAUCAGCCAAUUCACAACUGCAAAGGACAGGCCUUCAAGAUUUGUAUUUCUUUAAGUUUUCUUCCUUACCAUUAUAAUAUCCAUUUAAUUGGUAAUGUACACAAUUUAUGCCUUUCUGAAAUAAAAUACAUGAAAGCAGAAAAGUAAGAGCUGUA